GAUGAACGCUGGCGACGUGCCUAAUACAUGCAAGUCGAGCGAACAGAUGAGGAGCUUGCUCCUCUGACGUUAGCGGCGGACGGGUGAGUAACACGUGGAUAACCUACCUAUAAGACUGGGAUAACUUCGGGAAACCGGAGCUAAUACCGGAUAAUAUAUUGAACCGCAUGGUUCAAUAGUGAAAGACGGUUUUGCUGUCACUUAUAGAUGGAUCCGCGCCGCAUUAGCUAGUUGGUAAGGUAACGGCUUACCAAGGCAACGAUGCGUAGCCGACCUGAGAGGGUGAUCGGCCACACUGGAACUGAGACACGGUCCAGACUCCUACGGGAGGCAGCAGUAGGGAAUCUUCCGCAAAGGGCGAAAGCCUGACGGAGCAACGCCGCGUGAGUGAUGAAGGUCUUCGGAUCGUAAAACUCUGUUAUUAGGGAAGAACAAAUGUGUAAGUAACUAUGCACGUCUUGACGGUACCUAAUCAGAAAGCCACGGCUAACUACGUG
rnacentral:rRNA from 1 species